UGAUCAUUGUUGGUAAGCCUGUGGAGCUUUAUUUAUGAAGAUUAGACAAGGUGAUACAUCAACACUCUGUACCUGAAAACUAAUCACCCACAUGACCAAAACACCCACACUAACCCAAUUACCUACACUAACACUGAUUGAGCAUCCUGAAAUGCAAUCAAGGAAGAACUGGGUGUGGUCUUCAGGCACUCAGUAAAAGGGCACUCCUGGAGACAAGCUCAUUCUUCUCCAGAGCAGAGUUUGAAACUCAUCUCGCUGAGGGACAUUUUAAUCUACCUCCUCUACAACUGGAGCACGUAAUCCUGGAGCUGACUUCAUACUUACCCUUCUGCAACAAGCACUGGUGAAACCAUGGACCCACUAGUUAGAAAAUGGACUUAGAAAUCUCACAAGCCUUCAAGAAAGAAUGCACCUGUUCCAUCUGCCUAAAGUACCUUAUGAACCCAGUCACCAUAGACAGUGGCACAGCUUUUGUUUACCCUUUCUCUGCCUUUCCUGGGAACAAGUCCAAACUCCUGCCUGUUUCCCUGUGUGCAGAGAGCCAUCUCAACAGAAAUAUGUCAAAAACAAUAUUCUUCUGAAGAAUUUGAUGUCCACUUCCAGAAAAGCCAGUCUCAGGAAAUUCCUGAGCUCUAGCAAAAUGUGUGUGAUCUACAAAGAGACAAAGAUGAUCUUCAGUGAAGAUUAAAAGCCCCUGCUGUGUUUGCUCUGCUCCAGCUCUCAGGAGCAAAGGGCUCAGGGACAUCCUUCUGUAGAAGGGGCUGCUGAGGAGUACCAGAUAUAUUAUACACUCAUGAAGCAGAUAAAAGUGGAUAAAAGCACAAAAAAGAAUGGCUUGGUUCCUUCCAUCAUUAUAAAGAAUAGAAAAACAAUCAAGAUUAAAGAGAAGUGAAAUUGUGAUUUCUGAGAAAUGGGCAGAUAUGAAUUUAUGGUGUAUGUAACAUACUGAUAAAAGGUACUGGCCAAGAGAGGUUUAACUGGAGGAGGAUAAAAUCAUGCUUCAAAGGUGAUCUAGACAACCUAUCCCUACAGUGCUACAUAUAUCUACAGGAAGAGCUGAUGAGGGCUGAGUAUAAGUAACUGUGUCCCAUUCUUCAUGAGGAAGAAAGACUACAUGUAGAGUCUUAAAAAAGAAAUCGAAUGAAUUUUAGAGCAUCUCAAAAAAGCAAUGACAAAAUUGUUCAAAAGAAGACACACCUCAGAGAAAUACAUAAGAAACUGGUGAAAAUAUCCCAUAAACCCUAUGUUGAGCUUCUGCAGGAGUGAGUCAGUGCAGCUGCACAUGCCUCAUCCUAUAAAGCCAGCACUUUCUGCCCAGACCAUCAUUUGAUAGCUCAACUGCUUCCAUGUUUCAGAAACAUGGAUUCAAAGGCCUUGCAAGACUUCCAGAGUGCACUCACAUGCUCCAUUUGCAUGAAUUACUUCUUACAACCUGUUACCAUAGACUGUGAGAACACCUUUUGCUGACCCUGCCUCUGCCUCUGCUGGGAGGAAGCCCAAAUACCAAUGUGCUUCCAGAAGUGUAGAGAAAUAGCAGAGAAGGUAGACUUCAAAACCAACAUUGUCCUCAAGAAGCUGGCUUCGCUUGCCAGAUAGGCCACACCUCACUCUCAGAGCAGCUGUGGGGGGCAGCUCUGCAGGACACACAGGGACAAAAAGGGGCUCUUCUGUGAAGUCGACAAGAACUUGCUCUUUGCACCUUGUUCUGAAUCACUCAAACACGUUUUUAACAGCUAUAGUCCAGCAUAAUGGGUGGCUGAGGAGUACAGGUACACAAAAAUGAAUCCUGCAAGACUGUCUUCCCUAACACUAAAGCCUAUGUUUAUUUUCAAUUUCCUUCUAAAGGAAAUUGAUCUGUUAUGGAAAAUGACUCAAGAGAUGCAAAAAUCUAAAUGAGGUAGUUCACAAAACUCACUUCUUCAUGGUAAAUAUGAAAAGGUUUUCUUUGUUUUUAUGCAGACUAAAAUGAUGUUGUCAGCUCAGUUUGAGUUGUCAUUGGAGGAUAGUAUUUUCCUUUCAGAAUAUGCAGGGAUUGCUGGUAAUAUUACAAAUUGACUGGUGAACACAAGCUAAUGUGAUGAAUACUACUAGUAUGUGAGGUGAGUGAGGCAUGACUGGUAUUUCCUGUCCAACUUUGGAGUUUUGGAUAAAUUGUUCCAGACACUGAGGACAGUAUUGAACUAUUUAGUUUGAAAGAGAAGAUAUAUAUAUAAUAUUUUUAACUAUGGCAAAGUUGAGUUUUUUAAUGUAUAAUACAGUGUUAUAUAAUAUAUUCAAAAAUCUUCAGAAGAAUCAAACAAAGGUAUAAAAGAAAAGGCAGAAGAUUCAUAUAAAAGAGGUAAAAUAAUGCAUUAAGAACCCUGAAGAGACAUCAUAAGGAGAUAGCCUGAGAUCCCACAGAGGUCUUGAUUUAAACAGGAGAGAGGCAAGAAACUGAGAAAGAAAUUAUCACAAAAUGCCAUUGAGGUAAAACAUAAAAUGCUGCACCUGAACUGGCAACCACAACUGCUAUCUCAACUGGGAAAUAGAAUAAACAGCAAACUGAGAAGAAAAGUGGUCCACGCUCAGCAGAUUCAGAGGCUCAGUACUGCAUGGGGCUUCAUACUUCAGACACUGGCCACCACUAAUGGAUGAUUAAUUGGUGUAUGUAUAUAUUUUUAAAAGCUUAAAUACUUUAUAUAAAUUUUUCUAAAAGUUGCUUUUUUGACUAUCUAAGUGUGUCAUGGAACAUAGACACAUAGAUAUCUGUGUUAAAACUUUUCAAAUUUUACUUUAAAAUAUUUUAUAUCUAAGGAAGAGUUAAAAAUGUAAUAUACUGACUUAAUUUGUAUUUGUGUUUCUAUGGCCAGUUUCCUAUUCCCCUAAAAUGUUCAUACAUCCCAUGAGACAGUUUUGAAGCAUUGGAAGCUUACAUUGGUAAGUUAUCAUGAACUGAAGUCUGACAUUUUUAAAAUUUUUAAAAAUUACACCAGCUUGUACAUGAAAAUCCUAUUUUCUAUUCCAGGAUCCAACCUAGAAUGGAGCAUUGAAUUUA